AAAAUCAGUUUUGAUAAAAUAUAUAUACACUUCCAAAGUAUGGUAAACAUUUAUUUGCCUAAGUGUUUUAUUUUAACGUUGUAAAUUUAUUAUUAUUUUUUUCCAAGAAUAUAAGUUGCUGUCAAAUUCUACUUCAAAUUAUAGUAACCAUUUAUGAGCAUUUCAUAAAGUAUUAAAAUAAUAUCUAACCACAUUAAUACUUGCCAUGUGGUAGAAAGGACAAAAGAACACUCUCCAAUGUCAUUAACUUUUGUCAUGUGUUUCCACGUGAUUAUGUCUAUAGAUAUAUACAAGGAGUUACCUACCAUAUUAAGUAAUUAAUGUAGAAAUGAGUUAACCUUGUAGCUAAGUAAUAAAAGUGCCCUUUAUUUGAGAGUUCACCGCCUCAUCAAGGCCAUAUACGGACAACCUUCCAUGAGACAUUAAAAACAUUUUCUUCAAUAUUAAGAUGGAUGUAGCGUUUUUGCUCCAGCUAUUGGCAGACAAGAUUUCUCUCCUCUUCUUCAAGAGCUUCAAAGCAAGGUGAACCGUACUCUAUAAUGAAGUAAAAUAUCGGGGAAGCUUUUACGAAGGUGAUCCAAGUAUGAUCCUUAGUCUGCGACCUUCUACGAGCUCGUAUGAGCAAUAAAAGAUUUUGGAAGAAACGGGACUUGAAUUUGGAUAGGCGUAAAAGGCAAAUAAGGUACAGACGAUCGAUUUGUUGAUCCGCCCGCUUAGGAUUCUAUUCUGCUAUCUUGGAGUGCUCCUUUGUCCGGAGCCUAUAUUUUGGGUACAGACUCUUCUGUUGCACAUAUGUAUGUUAUUCAGGGGUAUGACGGGGCCCUGUCCCGUCUUAUGAUCUGUUUGUUGUUCGUAGAGGUCUGCAGACAUACAUGUGGGUUGUGUAUAUGUUUUGGGUUGCUAUGUUCUAUGAUAGCCUUAUCGGCUUCCGUGCGAUAUGUCUGUUUGUCUGCGAUAAUUAGUAAAGCCAUUCGACUUCUGUAUCUGUAUAUUCUGCUUAUAUUCUAGUUUGGGUUAUUAGGUACGUAUGGGUGUCCAGCACGGACACUAGUCGCGGCCUACGGGGUUGGGUCGUGACAAAAGUGGUAUCAGAGCGGUUUGGUUCUCGGAAUGUCUACAGACCGUGUCUAGUAGAGUCUUGUUUAUCGGUGUGUUGUGCACCACAUCUAUAAACAGGAGGCUACAAGGCAUUUAGGGUAUUACCUUUCUUUGGAUCUUAGAUCGUGCGAUAGAGCCCAGCCAUAGGAAAUGAAAUUCCUUUUUACUAACUCUUGAUUUCAGCUGAAGAACGGUAUCGACAGAAGGAAGCGACUGACGAUAUUAGAAGUUACAAAGUACACAGGUAAGUAACGGUACGAAAUAGGCAUGUGGGAUAAGGUAAGAAUAUUGAAAUGUGAUUGAAAUGUAAAAUUGGAGGAUGAAAGAGAAGGUGGGUAGGAAAGUAUAACAGAACAAAUCGUUAAAGGAUCAGGUAUGUCUCGAGGUGCGAUAUGUGAGGUAAGUCUCGACACCUUUAAGCCUUUCACUUGAAGUUGGGAGCCCUGUGUGGCUAUGAUACGAUAUAUGUGUAUAUAUGUUGGCCCUGUGAGGCAUUGUUGGUAGUUCCUGCGUGCAGGUUCUGCGAUAGUAAGAAGUACAGAGGAAACUCUGCCCAAAUUUUCCCAGAAAUAGGAAAAAGGAAGAGAAUGGGAUAUAAGUUCAUAAUAUGUUUUGAAGGUUAAUAUAUGAAAAGAUGACAACAAAUGGAAGAAUAUGAGUACAAUAGUGGCACAUGCAGGAAAAAGGAUAAAAAGAGAUGUUGCACAGAAGAAAUACAAUAUAGAGAUUAUAAUAUAAUGAUACAGCACGUAGAAGAAUAACAAAGGAAGUAAUGAAAAGUAUGACAAAUUAUUGUGACAUGAUAAUGGAUGUGUGUUAAAAUGAAAUAAUUUAAAAUACAUUUACUGUAUAUUAGUGGGUAAUAAAUGAUGUUAUUAGUAUGAACAUGAUGUGUAGUGUAGUCAAAAGGUUGUAAAUAUACAGAGAAUAAGAUAAAGAAUUGAGGGAAUGUGACGUUGAUGUAAGUGAAUAAUAAAUAUGAUGGUCGUGGAUUGUAUAAGUGUCACGAGAUAAUGAUGAACAUGGAUGAUGGUAUUAUAAAAAAAAAAAAAAAAAAGAGAUACACAUGUGCAAUAGCAUAUAACUAAGAAUCACACGUUGUUUAAUAAUGGUGAGUUAUAUAAUGUGAAAAAGAAAUUAAUUAUGGUACUAAGUGGAAUUAAAUAAAUAAGUACUAUUAGCAAGUUGCCAUAUGGCAUUAGAUAAUUAAAGGUGGCAUCACGUGGAUAUUUUUAUACAUGCAUGCAAGGUGGUGAUGGCACCAUCAGUAAUGGUGGCAAAGAAAGUGCACUAAAAUUUUGCCAUGCGUAAAGUAUGAAGGAGGUGACUAAUAUAGAUAGCUAUUCAUACGGAUGAAAAUGCUCUAUUUCCCUUGGAAUUAAAUUGCACCUUUGAGUGUAAUAAUUAAGGUGGACCCCAUUGUCUACUAAGUGGGAAAAGUAUAUAUCCUCUUUUUGCUCAUAAACCGUGAGUACAUUUUUUUUUACAAACCAGCAACAUUUCAUCUUUGUCUAAUUCACUUUGGGGGUUACCUAAAAAUGUUUAGAAACAUUUCACUUUGGGGAAAUUUCCUUUGGAGCAAGGAAACGUUGGCAGCAAUUAAAUCCAAUUGGUAUACUCCAUUUUAAGGAAGUUGUUCAUACCAACAACAGAAAUACCAUGCAUGAUGUCAUUAUAAUUGUACAACAUGAUAGCAAAGUAAUUGAUUUGUUAUAAAAUUGCAAUAACCAGUAUACUUAUGUAUGACUAGUUUAACAUUCGAGGACGAAUGUUCUAAAGGGGGGAAGAAUGUUAUAUCUUGUAUUUUCGUACAUCGGAAAGCGUGCGAGUUAAAUGAUAUUAGUAACGGACACGAGGUUAUCCCCCAAAUUUAUAGGUGGUUAAAGUGAUGGUACACAUGUACCGUAAGGAUUUGAGGUUAAACAAAUCGAAGAAAAUAAGUUUUGUCGAGGUUUGAAAAUUUAUUUGAAUAAAGAUAGAAAUUAUUUUCUCAUAAAAACAAAAGGUAUCUUUUACCGUUUUGAGAAUUAAAAUAUUCGUACUCUUGAUAUUAGUUGGAAAAAAAUCAGUUUUGAUAAAAUAUAUAUACACUUCCAAAGUAUGGUAAACAUUUAUUUGCCUAAGUGUUUUAUUUUAACGUUGUAAAUUUAUUAUUAUUUUUUUCCAAGAAUAUAAGUUGCUGUCAAAUUCUACUUCAAAUUAUAGUAACCAUUUAUGAGCAUUUCAUAAAGUAUUAAAAUAAUAUCUAACCACAUUAAUACUUGCCAUGUGGUAGAAAGGACAAAAGAACACUCUCCAAUGUCAUUAACUUUUGUCAUGUGUUUCCACGUGAUUAUGUCUAUAGAUAUAUACAAGGAGUUACCUACCAUAUUAAGUAAUUAAUGUAGAAAUGAGUUAACCUUGUAGCUAAGUAAUAAAAGUGCCCUUUAUUUGAGAGUUCACCGCCUCAUCAAGGCCAUAUACGGACAACCUUCCAUGAGACAUUAAAAACAUUUUCUUCAAUAUUAAGAUGGAUGUAGCGUUUUUACUCCAGCUAUUGGCAGACAAGAUUUCUCUCCUCUUCUUCAAGAGCUUCAAAGCAAGGUGAACCGUACCCUAUAAUGAAGUAAAAUAUCGGGGAAGCUUUUACGAAGGUGAUCCAAGUAUGAUCCUUAGUCUGCGACCUUCUACGAGCUCGUAUGAGCAAUAAAAGAUUUUGGAAGAAACGGGACUUGAAUUUGGAUAGGCGUAAAAGGCAAAUAAGGUACAGACGAUCGAUUUGUUGAUCCGCCCGCUUAGGAUUCUAUUCUGCUAUCUUGGAGUGCUCCUUUGUCCGGAGCCUAUAUUUUGGGUACAGACUCUUCUGUUGCACAUAUGUAUGUUAUUCAGGGGUAUGACGGGGCCCUGUCCCGUCUUAUGAUCUGUUUGUUGUUCGUAGAGGUCUGCAGACAUACAUGUGGGUUGUGUAUAUGUUUUGGGUUGCUAUGUUCUAUGAUAGCCUUAUCGGCUUCCGUGCGAUAUGUCUGUUUGUCUGCGAUAAUUAGUAAAGCCAUUCGACUUCUGUAUCUGUAUAUUCUGCUUAUAUUCUAGUUUGGGUUAUUAGGUACGUAUGGGUGUCCAGCACGGACACUAGUCGCGGCCUACGGGGUUGGGUCGUGACAAAAGUGGUAUCAGAGCGGUUUGGUUCUCGGAAUGUCUACAGACCGUGUCUAGUAGAGUCUUGUUUAUCGGUGUGUUGUGCACCACAUCUAUAAACAGGAGGCUACAAGGCAUUUAGGGUAUUACCUUUCUUUGGAUCUUAGAUCGUGCGAUAGAGCCCAGCCAUAGGAAAUGAAAUUCCUUUUUACUAACUCUUGAUUUCAGCUGAAGAACGGUAUCGACAGAAGGAAGCGACUGACGAUAUUAGAAGUUACAAAGUACACAGGUAAGUAACGGUACGAAAGAGGCAUGUGGGAUAAGGUAAGAAUAUUGAAAUGUGAUUGAAAUGUAAAAUUGGAGGAUGAAAGAGAAGGUGGGUAGGAAAGUAUAACAGAACAAAUCGUUAAAGGAUCAGGUAUGUCUCGAGGUGCGAUAUGUGAGGUAAGUCUCGACACCUUUAAGCCUUUCACUUGAAGUUGGGAGCCCUGUGUGGCUAUGAUACGAUAUAUGUGUAUAUAUGUUGGCCCUGUGAGGCGUUGUUGGUAGUUCCUGCGUGCAGGUUCUGGGAUAGUAAGAAGUACAGAGGAAACUCUGCCCAAAUUUUCCCAGAAAUAGGAAAAAGGAAGAGAAUGGGAUAUAAGUUCAUAAUAUGUUUUGAAGGUUAAUAUAUGAAAAGAUGACAACAAAUGGAAGAAUAUGAGUACAAUAGUGGCACAUGCAGGAAAAAGGAUAAAAAGAGAUGUUGCACAGAAGAAAUACAAUAUAGAGAUUAUAAUAUAAUGAUACAGCACGUAGAAGAAUAACAAAGGAAGUAAUGAAAAGUAUGACAAAUUAUUGUGACAUGAUAAUGGAUGUGUGUUAAAAUGAAAUAAUUUAAAAUACAUUUACUGUAUAUUAGUGGGUAAUAAAUGAUGUUAUUAGUAUGAACAUGAUGUGUAGUGUAGUCAAAAGGUUGUAAAUAUAAAGGGGGGAAGAAUGUUAUAUCUUGUAUUUUCGUACAUCGGAAAGCGUGCGAGUUAAAUGAUAUUAGUAACGGACACGAGGUUAUCCCCCAAAUUUAUAGGUGGUUAAAGUGAUGGUACACAUGUACCGUAAGGAUUUGAGGUUAAACAAAUCGAAGAAAAUAAGUUUUGUCGAGGUUUGAAAAUUUAUUUGAAUAAAGAUAGAAAUUAUUUUCUCAUAAAAACAAAAGGUAUCUUUUACCGUUUUGAGAAUUAAAAUAUUCGUACUCUUGAUAUUAGUUGGAAAAAAAUCAGUUUUGAUAAAAUAUAUAUACACUUCCAAAGUAUGGUAAACAUUUAUUUGCCUAAGUGUUUUAUUUUAACGUUGUAAAUUUAUUAUUAUUUUUUUCCAAGAAUAUAAGUUGCUGUCAAAUUCUACUUCAAAUUAUAGUAACCAUUUAUGAGCAUUUCAUAAAGUAUUAAUGGGACCAGAUAUGACAUAUGUUUUCUGCAUGCACUAUUUAUGCUUUAUGAUCAGCAUUUUGAUAUUCUGGAUAUUCCGUUCAUUUCCUGUACCUUCUGCUUCGGUUAUGACUUUGUUCACUAUGUUCCGUGCUUUACAUAUUCAGUACAUUUUCCGUACUGACCCCCUUUUUUCGGGGGAUGCGUUUCAUGCCACGCAGGUACAGACGAUCGAUUUGUUGAUCCGCCCGCUUAGGAUUCUAUUCUGCUAUCUUGGAGUGCUCCUUUGUCCGGAGCCUAUAUUUUGGGUACAGACUCUUCUGUUGCACAUAUGUAUGUUAUUCAGGAGUAUGACGGGGCCCUGUCCCGUCUUAUGAUCUGUUUGUUGUUCGUAGAGGUCUGCAGACAUACAUGUGGGUUGUGUGUAUGUUUUGGGUUGCUAUGUUCUAUGAUAGCCUUAUCGGCUUCCGUGCGAUAUGUCUGUUUGUCUGCGAUAAUUAGUAAAGCCAUUCGACUUCUGUAUCUGUAUAUUCUGCUUAUAUUCUAGUUUGGGUUAUUGGGUACGUAUGGGUGUCCAGCACGGACACUAGUCGCGGCCUACGGGGUUGGGUCGUGACAAUUUAUUGCUACCCAAUUAGUGCACCGCCUUUAAGUUUGAGUUUGUGAAAAU